rnacentral:rRNA from 1 species
AGCACUCGUGCGAGACUGCCGGUGUUAAGCCGGAGGAAGGUGGGGACGGCGUCAAGUCAUCAUGGCCCUUACGUGUAGGGCUAGAAACGUGCUACAAUGGCGGUAACAGUGGGCAGCGACGUCGCAAGGCGAAGCUAAUCCCUAAAUACCGUCUCAGUUCAGAUUGUCCUCUGCAACUCGAGGGCAUGAAGUUGGAAUCGCUAGUAAUCGCACAUCAGCAUGGUGCGGUGAAUACGUUCCCGGGUCUUGUACACACCGCCCGUCACACCAUGGGAGUUGGUUUUACCCGAAGGCUGUGCGCUAACUUUGGAGGCAGCAGACCACGGUAGGAUCAAUGACUGGGGUGAAGUCGUAACAAGGUAGCCGUAA